rnacentral:miRNA from 1 species
CCCGAGCGGUGCUGUGGCGG